GUGUCAGCCGCCGCGGUAAUACAGAGAUCUCGAGCGUUAAUCGGAGUCACUGGGCUUAAAGCGUACGUAGGCGGACUUGCAAGCAUCUUGUGAAAUCCCUCGGCUCAACCGAGGAACUGCUUGGUGAACUGCGAGUCUUGAGGCAAGUAGAGGCUGUCGGAACGAUAGGUGGAGCGGUGAAAUGCGUUGAUAUCUAUCGGAACGCCGAAGGUGAAAACAGGCAGCUGGGCUUGUUCUGACGCUGAGGUACGAAAGCGUGGGGAUCAAACGGGAUUAGAUACCCGUGUAGUCC
rnacentral:rRNA from 1 species